rnacentral:rRNA from 1 species
UACAGAGGGUGCAAGCGUUAAUCGGAAUUACUUGGCGUAAAGCGUGCGUAGACGGUAGCGUAAGUCGGGUGUGAAAGCCCCGGGCUCAACCUGGGAAUUGCAUUCGAGACUGCUCUGCUAGGGUGCGGAAGAGGGAAGCGGAAUUUCCGGUGUAGCGGUGAAAUGCGUAGAUAUCGGAAGGAACACCAGUGGCGAAAGCGGCUUCCUGGUCCAGCACCGACGUUCAGGCACGAAAGCGUGGGGAGCAAACAGG